UACAGAGGUCUCAAGCGUUGUUCGGAUUUCAUUGGGCGUAAAGGGUGCGUAGGUGGCGCGGUAAGAUCGGGUGUGAAAUCUCGGGGCUUAACUCCGAAACUGCAUUCGAUACUGCCGUGCUUGAGGACUGGAGAGGAGACUGGAAUUUACGGUGUAGCGGUGAAAAUGCGUAGAUAUCGUAAGGAAGACCAGUGGCGAAGGCGGGUCUCUGGGCCGAUACUGACGCUGGAGGAGCGAAAGCGUGGGGAGCGAACAGG
rnacentral:rRNA from 1 species